rnacentral:rRNA from 1 species
AUUGAACGCUGGCGGCAGGCCUAACACAUGCAAGUCGAACGGUAACAGGAAGAAGCUUGCUUCUUUGCUGACGAGUGGCGGACGGGUGAGUAAUGUCUGGGAAACUGCCUGAUGGAGGGGGAUAACUACUGGAAACGGUAGCUAAUACCGCAUAACGUCGCAAGACCAAAGAGGGGGACCUUCGGGCCUCUUGCCAUCGGAUGUGCCCAGAUGGGAUUAGCUAGUAGGUGGGGUAACGGCUCACCUAGGCGACGAUCCCUAGCUGGUCUGAGAGGAUGACCAGCCACACUGGAACUGAGACACGGUCCAGACUCCUACGGGAGGCAGCAGUGGGGAAUAUUGCACAAUGGGCGCAAGCCUGAUGCAGCCAUGCCGCGUGUAUGAAGAAGGCCUUCGGGUUGUAAAGUACUUUCAGCGGGGAGGAAGGGAGUAAAGUUAAUACCUUUGCUCAUUGACGUUACCCGCAGAAGAAGCACCGGCUAACUCCGUGCCAGCAGCCGCGGUAAUACGGAGGGUGCAAGCGUUAAUCGGAAUUACUGGGCGUAAAGCGCACGCAGGCGGUUUGUUAAGUCAGAUGUGAAAUCCCCGGGCUCAACCUGGGAACUGCAUCUGAUACUGGCAAGCUUGAGUCUCGUAGAGGGGGGUAGAAUUCCAGGUGUAGCGGUGAAAUGCGUAGAGAUCUGGAGGAAUACCGGUGGCGAAGGCGGCCCCCUGGACGAAGACUGACGCUCAGGUGCGAAAGCGUGGGGAGCAAAC